rnacentral:rRNA from 1 species
GCGUGUGUGAAGAAGGCCUGCGGGUUGUAAAGCACUUUCAGUAGAGAAGAAAAGCGCAGGGAUAAUACCCCUGUGUCUUGACGUAACCUACAGAAGAAGCACCGGCUAACUCCGUGCCAGCAGCCGCGGUAAUACGGAGGGUGCAAGCGUUAAUCGGAAUUACUGGGCGUAAAGCGCGCGUAGGCGGUUUUGUAAGUCGGAUGUGAAAGCCCUGGGCUUAACCUGGGAAUUGCAUUCGAUACUGCUUAACUAGAGUACGGUAGAGGGAAGUGGAAUUUCCGGUGUAGCGGUGAAAUGCGU